AGAUGGUCUGGAAUACCUGGGCCAUCGGUGACGGCUGCCUCCCUGGGUCACACUGGAGAGGCGGGACUGGAAGCGCCCUGUGGCUUCAGAUGCUGGAUGCUGCAGUGUGCAGAUGCGUCCCAUGGCGCCAUGGCGACGGCCAGAGGGCAGUGCGCCUGCGCCUGGCACUUUGCCCCGGAAGUGCACUCGCACGCACGCACGCGUGGCCCUGACUGCCCCGCGGGCGCUCAGGUGGGAGUCAGCAUGGCGUCCGCUGCUGCCCGAGAGCCUGCGCGAGCCGUGAGGAGAGGAGCCGUCCACUGAAACCAAAAGCUAUGUGACUGACCUGUUGCAUGUAACAAAAGUUCCAGAGGUAGCAUGGGUUUCAGAUAUAGAAUCCACGGAGUGCAUAGCUCUCUGAUCCUGUGUGCUUGAGCGUUACUGGUCAGACGUUCCCACUGCCAGCUGCUAGUCAGAUCACUGCUGAUCUGCGGUCUUCUGUGAGUAGAGGCUCCCCAAGAGUGGAGAGGGUCCCCUCAUGGUUUACCUACAUCUCAAAAUGAAACUGGCUUUCGGAGUUCUGGCUGGGGUAUGAGAAUCUUGGACUGAGUGGUUGGUCACUUUAUGGUGCGAUAGGCCCUGCACCUCUUUCUUUGCUCAACCUGCAGGGAAUUGUAGUCGUCUGUGCCUAGCAUGGUUUGCCCACGGCAAGAUCUUCUUGAAGUAUCCAAAGAGUGUUCUCACUCUUGGGGUUGUGAUAAUUAAAUUUUUUUUUUCAAAGAAAGCAUUGUCUCUAGUGGGUGUCUAGCUUUUCUGCCAUUUCAUGGAAUUUGUCAAAUGAGUGGCAAAUUCUGUAGUCUGAUGGAAUUUAUUUGCUUGUUUAUGAAUCAGUCCUGAAAAAUGUGAAAUUUAUCAUUUAGUCUAGUAAAGCGCAGAGUUAUGAUUUUUCUCCUUGAUAGUACUCGAGUUUUCACUAUUUGUGUAAAAACAACUUUGGGGCUUAUAAAUUAUAAUUGCUCAGGAUGUAAUAGUUUGACAGGUUUAAUAGAUUUGUUUUCCUUCAUUAAACUUUAUCAUAUCAGUUAGGGAAACAUUCAUGGAGAAAGUAACUGUAGCGCGGUUUGAAACAAAGUAACUGUAACAGUUUGAAAGAAAGUAACUGCGCAAGCCUGCAGCUUGAAGGAAAAGUAAAGUAGUAGCCACCCUAGCUGGUAAGAUUUGAAAGUGGAUGGCCUAACUAGACUGCCUAACCACAAACUGUCGUUGCCAUGACGACGGGACCCUGGGAGGUCGGAAUGUGGGCGGGGCUAGCCUCUAGAAACUGUAUAUCAGGGGACCCUCAGACACUGUAAACCAGAGGUUGCUCAGCCUCUCUCCCCGGCCCGUAGUGCCUAGUGCCCGCGGGGAGAAGCUCCUGGUCCGUAGUGCCUAGUGCCCCCAGGAGUAGGCUUGAGCGAUCUCUCCUCCUACUCGCCUAGAGUAUCAAUAAAGUGUGUUUAGCUUGUCCUUCCUCAGUCUCCUCGACUCUUCCUUCACCACCUGGCCAGUUCCCGAAGGAGGAGAUCCUGACAGCUGGUGCCCGAACAGGGACUUGAAGUCAGACGGUGAGGAGACGAGCCCUUGAGGAAUCGUCAAAAGGGUGGGCAAGUGGGAGAACCAGACCCUGAGCCCGAGAGGCACGCCAUGUGGCCCCGGUACAAGUCCUUCUCUGACUGUGAGCCGGAUGACAGCCACCUGAGCGUCGUCACCCUGGAGGAGGCCCCCUUCUUCAUCAUGGAAGACAUCGACCAGCUGACCGAGACGUGUGUGCGGAACACGGUGCCGUGUUGGAAGUUCGUCAAAAUCAAGAGGAGGGAGUAAAGCAUUGUUGGUCGGUGCACAUGGUGCUUAACGUGGAAUCUGGAGGUGGAGAUGGUGUUUUCUUACUUACAUAGUUUAUGAUUUCCAACUAUCGCCAAGAGCUUUGUGGAGUUCUUUGUUGGAACAUAUGCUGAGCCCUGGUUCUAAGCCUUAGAACAAGGAGGUGAGCAGCCAAGAGCAAUACCUGCAGGAAAGGCCGGGCUGCUGGUGUCGGAGGAGUGGCAAUGGAUUCAACAGGACCCUCAGGUUUGACCAUCCUCUCCUGGUGAGUCUUCUUGAAAUGUUUGUGCGUAUCAUAUGCCGGCCCUGGCCACAGACAGGAGACACUUGGGCCUUCAGGAGCCAGGGGGAAGGAAGAAAAAAUUGUGCAUUAUAUUGUAUUUUAUAAAUUGAAUAUUACAUAUUGUAUUAUAAAUUUUUAUUACAGAGUAUAACUUUCAUACCAUAGGUUCUAAAUAGAUUUAAAUUGUAUAUUGUAAAACAUAUAUUUGCCUGGAGGUAUCACAUAUAGUUCCAGAAGGAAUGGCCUGCCUGGCUGAAUUCUCAUGCCAGGGUGGGGGAAACAGCAGGUGAGUCAUCAUCUCCUGGGUGGGCGAUUUAGAUGCCCAGCGACUCUGGUAAUUUCCAGGUUUCUUGUGUUGUUUUCUGAAUUUAUAGUUCUACUCAGUGGACAGGAGCUGGGAAGAUGGAUCCAGGCAUCUAGGAAGGAAGUUCCCGCUCACAGGCUUUGAUUCCUGUUUUUCCCUAAUUUGCUAAGAUAGUUUAUUCCAGUUCACGUUGAAGGUUCUCCAACACACAGCAGUAAUAGCAUUGACUGGGAAACCCAAAAAGAUGGCUGUAUAUUGUUGUCAUUGCCCCACUGGAUUCUAAUUCUUCCUCUGUGAUAACCAGUGAUUCCCCUAAUUUUAUGAAAAAGUUCCUGAGGAAUACAUUGUUCUAUUGUGUUAAUGAAUCGUGGUUAUACUCUGGCCUCAGAAUCAGCCCUUAGGGCAUUCGGAUCCAGCUGAAAAGCCCAUGAGAGUAUUUCAGGCAUGGAAAGCCAAGACACUCUGGCAAAAAAAAAUGACCUAAAUGAAAGAUCUCCGCGAGUGAGAUCCCAGUGGAAAGAACAGGUCAUCAAAGAAGGAGGUACCUUUCUCUGAAGGGAGGAGAGAACUUCCACUUUGACUAUGACCUUGUCUAAAUAUGAUAAGAGUCAGUGAACUCAAAAGGCUUCCAUAGCCUUGGCAACUCAUGACAAGAGCCUAGGGAGAUUACUGAUGCCAUAAACAAGAGUGUCGAUUUGUUAAGUCAACAACAAGAGUCACUGUGCACUUACUCCUUAUGUAGGAUCUCUGUCCUUAAAGUGCUGUACAUUGUGAUUUAAUGCUAUAACUAGUACUCAAACAGUAUUUUUCACUUUGUGUUUCUAUGAGGGUGCAGACUGUUGAAAUCAUUGCUUAAUGUAUGCUAAACUGAUCUUCUGUAUAUAAGAGAAAGGAAAAUGAAUCUUGAUGUAAAUGGAAGCGGAGAAGGAGCAGGAAAGGGGAGAUUUGCAGGUGGGAGGGAAGUUAUGGGAGGGGAAGCCAUUGUAAUCCAUAAGCUGUACUUUGGAAAUUUAUAUUCAUUAAAUAAAAGUUUUUUAAAAAAGCAAAAGUACAGUCACGUGGCAUAAAACAAUAUUUGACCAACAAAAGACCAUAUAUAGAAUGGUUGCUGUAUCACAUAGCCUUGGCGUGUACCAGGUUAAGCAAUGUAAGUCUGUAUAAGUACAUUCUAUGAAAUGUUCACAUUAUGACAAUACUGCCUAGUGAUGCAUUUCUCAAAAUGUCUAUCAUUAAAGCAGCCCAUAACUGUAUAAGAUUGUCAGUGUCCUGAGGCUGCAUGCAAUAUGAUUUUGAUCUUAAUUUUUCUUACACAUACUCCUACCUCUACCCAUCUUCCCAGGCCUUCCUCAAAUACCGCUGCUUCCUAGAAUCCCAACUCAAUCAUUUUAUUUAUUUAUUUAUUUAUUUUAAUUUCUUUUUUUUAUUUAAUGAGCAUAAAUUUCCAAAGUACAGCUUAUGGAUUACAAUAGCUUCCUCCCCCCCGUAACUUCCCUCCCACCCACAACGCUCCCCUCUCCCACUCCCUCUCCCCUUCCCCUCACAUCAAGAUUAAUUUUCAAUUAUCUUUAUAUACAGAAGAUCAAUUUAGCAUAUAUUAAGUAAAGAUUUCCACAUUUUGCUCCCACACAGAAACACAAAGUGUAAAAUACUGUUUGAGUACUAGUUAUAGCAUUAAUUAAACACCUAAGAGUAAUUGUGUAUUAAUUACAGAGUUCAUCCAAUAGUUUUAAGUAGAAUAUAAAAUGCAAUUUUUGUAUUGUUGUGGCUUCCCCCCCUAACCUCCCUCCCUCCCGUGGCCCUCCCCUCUCCCACUCCCUCUCCCAUCCUGCCCUUCAUCACGUUUCAUUUUCAAUUACCUUCAUAUACUGAAGAUCAACUUAGUAUAUACUGAGCAGGGAUUUCAACAGGCUGCACUCACACAACCGAACCAGGUAUAGGGUAUUGUUCGACUAGUAGUGUUGUUUUUGAGUUUCAUAGUUAAACACAUUAAGGACAGAGAUCCUACGUGGGGAGCAUGAACCCAGUGACUUCCGUUGUUGAUUUAACAAUUUGCACUCUUAUUUAUGAUGUCAGCAAUCACCCGAGACUGUUGCUAUGAGCUGUCUGGGCUAUGGAAGCCCCUUGAGUUCACCGACUCUGAAUUUGUUUAGUCAAGGCCGUAUCACGGUGGAGGUUCCUUCCUCCCUUCAGAGAAAGGCGCCUCUCUCGUUGAUGGCCUGAUCCUUCUGCUGGGGUCUUGUUCACCAAGAUCUUUCAUUUAGAUUGUUUUUUGCCACCGUGUCAUGUCUUUCCAUGCCUGUGAGACUCUCAUGGACCUCUUAGUUGGAUCUGAAUGUCCCAAGGGUUGAUUCUGAGGCAGGAGUGCUGUUUUGGGCAUUUGCCAUUCUAUGAGUCUGCUGUGUGUCCUGCUUCCCCCCGCAGGAUCAUUCUCUCCCUUUUGAUUCUAUCCUUCAUUAUUUGCUUACACUGGUCUUAUUUGUGUAAUCUCUUCGACACUAUUCUAUCUUUUGGAUUGGUUGUGUAUUUAUACUUAUCACUUUACCAAGUGUGCUGGCAUUGGUACCUGCCUCCUUGGUAAGGUUGAGCUGAAAUCCCCUGGCACAUUUCUAGUUCCACCAUUGGAGGUAGGUCUGAGUGAGUAUGUGUCAUCCUAUAUAUCUCCUCCCUCUCUUAUUCCCACUCCUAUGUUUCACAGAGAUCAAUUUUCUGUUAAUUUUUAAACGCUUAAGAAUGGUUGUGCAUUGAUUACAGAGUUCAACCAGUGGUCUUGUGUAGAGCAAACUGAGCAACAACAACAACAAAAAUACUAAAGGAACAAAAUAGUAAGUUGUUCCUCAACAGUCUAGACAAGGGCUGCUCAUGUCAUUGUCUCUCAUAGUGUCCAUUUCACUUCAAUGGGUAUCAUUUUAGAUGCUCGUUUAGUUGCCAUCGAUCAGGGAGAACAUAUGAUAUUUGUCCCUUCUGGACUGGCUUAUUUCACUCAGCAUGAUGUUUUCCAGCUUCCUACAUUUUGUUGUAAAUGCCCGGAUUUCAUUGUUUUCUACUGCUGUAUAGUGUUCCAUAGAGUACAUUUCCCAUAGUUUCUUUAUACAGUCAUCCAUUGAUGGACAUUUAGGUUGAUUCCAUGUCUUAGCUAUUGUGAAUUGAGCUGCAACAAAUAUUGAGGUGCAAAUGACUUUUUUCUCCCCUUUAAUUCCAUUUGGGUAUAUUCCAAGGAGUGGGAUGGCUGGGUCCUGUGGUAGUGCUUUAUUCAGGUUUCUGAGGAUUCUCCAGACUGUCUUCCAUAGUGGCUUUACCAGUUUGCAUUCCCACCAACAGUGGAUUAGUGUCCCUUUUUCUCCACAUCCUCACCAGCAUCUGUUGUUGGUUGAUUUCUGUACGUAAGCCAAUCUAACCGGAGUGAGGUGGAAUCUCAUUGUGAUUUUGAUCUGCAUUUCCCUGAUGGCUAGGGAUCCUGAGCAUUUUUUCAUGUGUCUGUUGGCCAUUUGGAUUUACUCUUUUGAAAAAUGUCUGUUAAGGUCCUUGGCCCAUUUUUUUUACUGGGUUGUUUGUUUUGAUUCUGUGGUGUUUUUUGAUCAUUGUGUAGAUUCUAGUUGUUAAUCCUUUAUCUGUUGUGUAGUUUGCGAAUAACGUCUCCCAUUCUGUUGGUUGCCUCUUCGCUUUCCUGACUGUUUCCUUUGCUGUUAAGAAACUCUUCAAUUUGAGGUAAUCCCAUUUGUUUAUUUUAUCUUUGAUUACCUGUGCCUGUGGGGUCUUCUCCAGGAAUUCUUCGCCUAUUCCGAUAUCUUGAAGGGUUUCCCCUAUGCUCUCAAUUAGUUUCAUGGUGUCGUGGCGCAUCUCUAGUUCUUUGAUCCAUGUUGAGUGGAUUUUUGUAUAAGGUGUAAGGUAGGGGUCUUGCUUCAUACUGCGACAUGUGGACAUCCAGUUUUCCCAGCACCAUUUGUUGAAGAGGCUGUCCUUGUUCCAGGGGUUGGUUUUAGGUCCUUUGUCGAAUAUGAGUUGGUUAUAGAUGUUUGGAUUGAUCUCCAGUGUUUCUAUUCUGUUCCAUUGGUCUAUCCAUCUGUUUUUGUACCAGUACCAGGCUGUUUUGGUUAUAACUGCCCUGUAGUAUGCCUUGAAGUCUGGAAUUGUGAUGCCUCCGGCCUUGUUUUCAUUGUUAAGGAUUGCUUUAGCUAUUCUGGGUCUCCUGUUUCUCCAUAUGAAUUUCAGCAUCAUUUUUUCUAGGUCUUUGAAGAAUGACUUUGGUAUUUUGAUUGGUAUUGCAUUGAACUUGUAAAUUGCUUUUGGGAGAAUGGACAUUUUGAUGAUAUUGAUUCUUCCAAUCCAUGAGCAUGGCAGGUUUUUCCAUUUUUUUGUGUCGUCUUCUAUUUCUUUAGUGUUUUGUAAUUUUCAUCAUAGAGGUCUUUGACCUCGUUGGUUAAAUUUAUUCCAAGGUACUUUAUUGUUUUUGUGGCUAUCGUGAAUGGGGUUGAUCUUAGUAGUUCUUCCUCGUCCCUGGCAUUGUCUGUGUAUACAAAGGCUGUUGAUUUCUGAGUGUUGACUUUGUAUCCUGCUACUUUACCAAACUCUUCUAUGAGUUCCAAUAGUCUCUUAUAGGAGUUUAUCAGGUCCCCUAUAUAUAGUAUCAUGUCAUCUGCAAAUAGGGAUAGUUUAACUUCCUCCUUUCCCAUUUGUGUCCCUUUAAUUUCUUUUUCUUGCCUGAUGGCUCUGGCUAACACUUCUAGGACUAUAUUGAAUAGCAAUGGUGAGAGUGGGCAUCCCUGUCUGGUGCCGGUUUUCAAUGGAAAUGCCUCCAACUUUUCCCCAUUCAAUAUGAUGCUGGCCUUUGGUUUAUCAUAGACUGCCUUAAUUGUGUUGAGGAAUGUUCCUUCUAUACCCAAUUUGCUUAGGGUUUUCAUCAUGAAAGGGUGUUGUAUUUUGUCAAAUGCUUUCUCUGCAUCUAUUGAGAUAACCAUAUGAUUUUUGUUUCUCAAUUUAUUAAGGUGAUGUAUUACAUUGAUUGACUUUCGAAUAUUGAACCAUCCCUGCAUACCAGGGAUAAAUCCCACUUGGUCCGGGUGAAUGAUCUUUCUGAUGUAUAGUUGGAUUCGGUUUACCAGAAUUUUGUUGAGUAUUUUUGCAUGUAUGUUCAUCAGGGAGAUAGGUCUGUAGUUUUCUUUGUCUGUUGUGUCUUUUCCGGGCUUAGGAAUUAAGGUGAUAUUGGCUUCGUAGAAAGAAUUUGGAAGGAUUCCCUCUCUUUCAAUUGUUUUAAACAAUUUGAGAAGAACUGGGGUUGGUUGUUCUCUAAAUGUCUGGUAAAAUUUGGCAGUGAAGCCAUCCGGUCCUGGGCUCUUCUUUUUCGGUAAUGCGUUUAUUACCAAUUCAAUUUCUUCCAUGGUUAUGGGUCUGUUUAGAUUUUCUGUAUUUUCACAGCUCAGUUUAGGAAGGUUGUAUUUGUUCAGGAAUGUAUCCAUUUCUUCCAGGUUCCCCAAUUUGUUAGCAUACAUCUCUUUGUAGUAGUUUCUGAUGAUUCUCUUUAUUUCUGUUGUGUCUGUUGUUACAUUUCCAUUACUAUCUUUGAUUUUACAGAUUUGGGUCUUCUCUCUCCUUUUUUUGGUUAGUUGGGCCAAUGGUGUGUCGAUUUUGUUUUAUUUUUUCAAAGAACCAGCUCCUGGUUUUGUUGAUCUUUUGUAUUGGUUUUUUUUUUUUUUGGUUUCAAUUCUGUUUAUUUCUUCUCUGAUCUUUAGUAUUUCUUUCCUCCUUCUGGAUUUGGGCUUGAUUUGCUGCUGUUUUUCUAAAUCCUUGAGGUGCAUGGAGAGUUCAUUUGUUUGGUUCCUUUCCAGCUUCUUGAUGUAGGCACUAAUUGCUAUAAACUUUCCUCUUAGCACUGCUUUUGCUGUGUCCCACAGGUUUUGAUAGGUUGUGUUAUCAUUUUCAUUUGUUUCUAGAAAUCUUUUGAUUUCUCUUUUAAUUUCUUCGAUGACCCACUGUUCAUUUAGGAUCAUGUUGUCCAUUCUCCAUAUAUUUGCAUAUGCUGUAGAGAUUCUUGGGUUGUUGAUUUCGAGUUUCACUGCGCUAUGGUCUGAGAAGCUGCAUGGUAUAGUUUCAAUUUUUUUGAAUUUGUUGAGGCUCCCUUUAUGGCCAAGCAUAUGGUCAAUGCUAGAGAAUGUUCCAUGUACUGGGGAGAAAUACGUGAACUCUGUGUCUGUGGGGUGGAAGGUUCUGAAGAUAUCUAUUAGGUCUAUUUGGUCUAUGGCACCAAUUAGCUCAGUUGUUUCCUUAUUGAAUUUCUGUCUGGUAGAUCUGUCCAUUGGUGAGAGUGGGGUGUUGAAGUCCCCUGUUACUAUUGUAUUUGAGUCUGUAUCUCCCUUUAAAUCCUUUAGUAAUUCUUUCAGGUAGCCAGGCGCCCUGUAUAUAGGUGCGUAUACAUUUAUAAUAGUAAUGUCUUCCUGUUGGAUAGAUCCUUUAAUCAUUAUAUAGUGCCCUUCUCUGUCUUUUUUAAUAGUUUUUAUGUUAAAGUCUAUUUUGUCUGAUAUUAGGAUGGCCACACAAGCUCUUUUUUGAUUUCCAUUAGCUUGAAGUAUCUUUUUCCAUCCUUUCACUUUCAGUCUGUGUGCAUCUUUGCUGAUUAGGUGUGUCUCCUGAAGGCAGCAUAUAGUUGGAUUCUCUUUCUUUAUCCAAUCAGCUAGUCUAUGUCUCUUUGUCAUGGAAUUAAGACCAUUCACAUUCAAUGUGAUUACUGUUAAGUACUGUCUUUUCCCCUUCAUGUUUCCUGAAACGAGCUGCUUAUGUAUUUUGAACU